UACGUAGGAGGCGAGCGUUGUCCGGAAUUACUGGGCGUAAAGCGCACGUAGGCGGCUUUUUAAGUCAGAGGUGAAAUCCUGGAGCUCAACUCCAGAACUGCCUUUGAUACUGGAGAGCUUGAGUCCGGGAGAGGUGAGUGGAACUGCGAGUGUAGAGGUGAAAUUCGUAGAUAUUCGCAAGAACACCAGUGGCGAAGGCGGCUCACUGGCCCGGUACUGACGCUGAGGUGCGAAAGCGUGGGGAGCAAACAGG
rnacentral:rRNA from 1 species